AAUUGGAUUCAACGCCGGACAACCUCACCGGAUACGACAGCGGAAUGAUAGUCGGGCUGAAGACUCUACUUGACUAGCUGAGAGGAGGUGCAUGGCCGUCGUCAGUUCGUACUGUGAAGCAUCCUGUUAAGUCAGGCAACGAGCGAGACCCACGCCAACAGUUGCCAGCAUGGUCUUCGGACCGAUGGGGACACUGUUGGGACCGCCUCUGCUAAAGGGAGGAAGGAAUGGGCAACGGUAGGUCAGCAUGCCCCGAACUUAUCUGGGGCUACACGCGGGCUACAAUGGGUGGGACAAUGGGUAUCGACACCGAAAGGUGAAGGCAAUCUCCUAAACCCAUCCGUAGUUCGGAUUGUGGGCUGCAACUCGCCCACAUGAAGCUGGAAUCUGUAGUAAUCGUGUCUCAAAAUGGCACGGUGAAUAUGUCCCUGCUCCUU
rnacentral:rRNA from 1 species